rnacentral:rRNA from 1 species
UGGGGAAUUUUCCGCAAUGGGCGCAAGCCUGACGGAGCAACGCCGCGUGCGGGAGGACGGCCUGUGGGUUGUAAACCGCUUUUAUCAGGGAAGAAGCUCUGACGGUACCUGAUGAAUCAGCAUCGGCUAACUCCGUGCCAGCAGCCGCGGUAAGACGGAGGAUGCAAGCGUUAUCCGGAAUUAUUGGGCGUAAAGCGUCCGUAGGUGGCGACUUAAGUCUGCUGUCAAAGCUCACAGCUCAACUGUGGAUCGGCAGUGGAAACUGGGGUGCUAGAGUACGGUAGGGGUAGAGGGAAUUCCCAGUGUAGCGGUGAAAUGCGUAGAUAUUGGGAAGAACACCAGUGGCGAAGGCGCUCUACUGGGCCGUAACUGACACUGAUGGACGAAAGCUAGGGGAGCGAAUGGGAUUAGAUACCCCCGUAGUCC